rnacentral:rRNA from 1 species
AUUGAACGCUGGCGGCAUGCUUUACACAUGCAAGUCGAACGGCAGCACGGACUUCGGUCUGGUGGCGAGUGGCGAACGGGUGAGUAAUACAUCGGAACGUGCCCAGUUGUGGGGGAUAACUACUCGAAAGAGUAGCUAAUACCGCAUGAGAACUGAGGUUGAAAGCAGGGGAUCGUAAGACCUUGCGCAACUGGAGCGGCCGAUGGCAGAUUAGGUGGUUGGUGGGAUAAAAGCUUACCAAGCCGACGAUCUGUAGCUGGUCUGAGAGGACGACAAGCCACACUGGGACUGAGACACGGCCCAGACUCCUACGGGAGGCAGCAGUGGGGAAUUUUGGACAAUGGGCGAAAGCCUGAUCCAGCAAUGCCGCGUGCAGGAUGAAGGCCUUCGGGUUGUAAACUGCUUUUGUACGGAACGAAAAGCUUCGGGCUAAUACCCUGGAGUCAUGACGGUACCGUAAGAAUAAGCACCGGCUAACUACGUGCCAGCCGCCGCCGUAAGAC